AUCGAGGUUAACUUUGUUCUGUAUUCUUGUUAAAAGAAAACAAGUUUAUUCAAUUUGAACAAUUAUUUACCAUUUUGUUAGUAAAUCAUGGCAUCAAAAGUCACUUUUAAAAUUACUUUGACGUCCGAUCCUAAAUUGCCAUUUAAAGUGUAAGUUGGAUUUUUACACGUUUAAUAUUGUAAUUAAUUGUUAACUGAAUUAAAAUUUGGAACAAAAAUUCUAAUUAAUCAUGAGUGAUUCUGAAUUUGAUCAAGUUGUGACAGUAUUUAUGGCAUACAAGCAAAUACUUGAAAAGCCCUAUUUAGCUGAAAGUAUGGAAGAAAAAGACUUAAAUAAAGCUUAUGAUUAUUGUACAUUUAUUGAAAGCUUUAUAUCAAAUGUUCAUGAACAAAAAAAAGAAGUAGAUUUUGAAAAAUAUUUAAAUUACCGACUAUCCACUACAUACGAGUGUUCAGAUUUUGAGAAAGCUUGUGACAAAAUGCUUGAAAUCUUUAUGAAAGAUUCUCGUAUUUCAACAAAAAAAAUUGAUUUAUUAUUUAACAUCUAUAUCCGUCGUUUUGGACAGGAAAGAUUUAAAAAAUUUCUCAACACUACUAUAAAAGAUGCAAUGUGUUUUAAUUUAAUUCUAAAUUCUUUAGUGGAACAACAAAUUCCCAUUUCAGAAUUACACGACGAAGCAAUUUUUUUCACUUGGGACAAACAAAUUUGUAAUGGAAAAUUAAUUGAGGUUACUGAAUAUAUAGAUAAUAUGUUAGACGAUCAUCAAAUUUUAAAACUCGUUAAUGCCAUUUUAAACAUUAAAAUGAAAUCAAAAACAAAGAAAUUAAUUAUGGAAAGAUUUACAUUGAGAGCCUUUGAGAAUAAUGUCAAAUUUUUUCAAGAAAUUAUAAAAAUUCAUUCACAAUCACUUAUUCAAAUUCUCAGCGAGAAUUCCAAAUUUUGUGACAAUUUUUUAGAUACUGUCUUUUAUUUUGGACGUUCUAUGAUUUAUAAGGACGGUUAUUGGAUUUCUGAGGAAGGUAUUCAGUAUGAAGAUAUUGCGCAAAUUUUUCGAACCCUUUUAACGGAAUCAAAUGACAUUAGCUGUCGGACACAAAGACAAUUAAAUAUUGCUAAGGAAAUGGAGGACGGAGAUUUUUGGGAGGAAAUUGAAAGAGACUGUAUUCGUUUAUAUAGUACUGAGCGUGCCAGAAAAUACACCUUUCACAGCGGUGUUAAAGUUUGCUGCUGAGGAGUUCAAAGUAACCCCAGCUACGUCAGCAAUAAUAACUGACGAUGGUGUGGGAAUUAAUCCACAGCAAACAGCGGGAAACAUCUUUUUGAAGCAUGGCUCAGAACUUAGAUUAAUACCCAGAGAUCGUGUUGGUGGAAUUAGUUGACUAUAGAAAUUAUUUAAAUAAUUAUAAUAAAUAAAUGAAAUAAUUUUAUUUUAAUAUUCCAUUAAAUUUAUUAUUUACUAAAAACUUAAAAUAAAUAUCUAUUCAUUUUUUAAA